AAAAGUAUGGAGUUUUUAUUAUGCAGUGGAAAAACACCAGUUGUGGUCUUCUUUAAGCAAAGCUUCGUCCAGUGUAUCUUUAUCCUAUAGUAUGCGUUUUUAAGACGUAAAGUUCCAGCUGCAGAUUUGUGAGUGUCUUAAAGUGUUGAGUGACACUCAGAUGGAAUCUACAGCAACAUUAGACUACAGUCUGUGAUGAUAUCCGGUUCUAUGAUACCUGAGUCUGUUUGUUAAAAUGGUGGCCAACGACCAUAUCAUAAGGCGAAGUACUGAGAACUGCACAGACUAAAUGGAUUACUUUAGGAAUCAAGAAGACAACAUUUUGACAAUGCAUAAAAGAUUCUACGCAAAUAAUUUUUAUCAAACUGUCCUUGAAAAUACAUCGUUUUUAUUUAAAUUUAAUUUUCUGCAAAUUCUUCUCCAUAAUUAAAAUAAACGUUAAAAUUGAUCAUUCAUCGGCAUUACUUGAUUUAUAGAAGUCUGCUGUAAAAAACCAGUUUUGACAAAUACAAUAUGUACAUGUAUAACUAUAUUUUUUACAAGGAAGAUUUUAUUUGCAUUAGCUGUAUGAAUUAAUGGUGUUUCAAUGCCUGCAGUCCCUAUACAUGUAUAUACGGUGGAAUGUACAACGCCUGCAUUGCAUCAGUCUUUUGAGUCUAUCAUUGACUGCAUUAGAACUUAUGUGCAUGCAGUCGGCCAAUGCCUGCAUUGACUGACUGAUGAGCAGUCGGGCAAUGCCUGCAUUGACUGACUGCGCAGUC